UACGUAGGCAGCGAGCGUUGUUCGGAGUUACUGGGCGUAAAGGGUGUGUAGGCGGUUCUUUAAGUUUGGUGUGAAAUCUCCCGGCUCAACCGGGAGGGUGCGCCGAAUACUGAGGGACUUCGAGUGCGGGAGAGGAAAGUGGAAUUCCUGGUGUAGCGGUGAAAUGCGUAGAUAUCAGGAGGAACACCGGUGGUGUAGACGGCUUUCUGGACCGUAACUGACGCUGAGACACGAAAGCGUGGGUAGCAAACAGG
rnacentral:rRNA from 1 species